CAAAACUGAGAGAAGGAAAUGAAGUAAAGAAGAAAAAACUAAGAGAAAGGAAAGAAGGAAGGAAUUAAAAGAAGGAAAUGAAGAAAAGAAUAAAAAAGAAAAUAAAUAAGAAAUCGAAGGAAGGAAGUACGAAAAAUAAACAAUAAAAGAUUAAAUAUAGUCUUUCCGUGUUGUAUUUCUUGCAAUGAUAAACAUAUUUCAAGUUGACACGAGGAGAGAAAAAUACACGAAAUAUCUAUACGGCUUAACCAUAUAUAAUUAUCGUACCCAGCAGCAAGUGUAUAUACAAGAGUCACCUUACACACCAUCAUACAUAGAUACAUACAUAGAUACAUACAUACAUUCGAACACCCUUACUCUGCUUCUUUAUAUCUCACAAGUAUUAUAUGUAUCCUCCUUUCUUUUACAAUAUAUAUACAUUACUUACACACACAUAUCGCGAGAACGUAUGUUAGAUUCGUUUUUCAAUAAAUAUAUAUAACCGUGGAAGCUGAAAUAGGUCUUGAAGGAGAUUGUUAAGGGAAAAAGAAUGGCCCUAUGCAAGAUAUUAAGAAACUAAGAUAAAUAUAUAUAAUCGUGCAAGCUGAAGAAGGUGUUGAAGGAGAUUGUUAAGGGAAAAAGAAUGGCCCUAUGCAAGAUAUUAAGAAACUAAGAUAAAUAUAUAUAAUCGUGGAAGCUGAAGAAGGUGUUGAAGGAGAUUGUUAAGGGAAAAAGAAUGGCCCUAUGCAAGAUAUUAAGAAACUAAGAUAAAUAUAUAUAAUCGUGCAAGCUGAAGAAGGUGUUGAAGGAGGUUGUUAAGGGAGGGAAAGAAAGACCCUAAGCAAACUAUACAAAAAGAUAUGGGUUGAAAGAGGAGGCUGAUAGGAAAGAUAUAGGCUAAGCAAGAUAGUACAGAAAAUAGGAAGAGAAAGGAGAUUGCUAAAGAAAGACCCUAAGCAAGACAGUAAUAGGCUAAGCAAGAUAGUACAGAAAAUAAAGAGAGAAGGUUGCAAUUUUUUUUAUAGUAAAGGAAGAAGCUCAAAGGCCAAAAAAAUAAUAAUGAGAAUAAAAAAGCCCCACAAAUUACUUCCCCUAUGAAAAACAGUUUAGUGGAGUAGCCAAAAGAGAGGUCAAUUUCAGGAGGAGAGGUGGCCCGAUACUCUCCUCCUGAAAGAGAUCAAAUCGUAUGCAGGAGGAAAUACAGACGAAGGAAGAUUGUGCAAAGGAUGAAGUAUAAGAAAGACACUAAACAAGAUAUACACAAGCUAAGAAAAUACUAACUGAUAUAUUCCAAGCUCUUCCUUACUAGAAUGUCAAUUAUUAACAACUCAAAUCCCAAUGGUAGAUUCAGAAGAUCGUGAUAAGAAUGAAGGAUAAGAAAGAGGCUAAACAAGAUAUACACAAGCUAAGGAAAUACUAACUGAUAUAUUCCAAGCUGUUCCUUAUUAAAUGUCACUAUUACCAACUCAAAUCCCAAUGGUAGAUUCAGAAGAUCGUGAUAAGAGUGAAGUAUAAGAAAGAGGCUAAACAAGAUAUACACAAGCUAAGAAAAUACUAACUGAUAUAUUCCAAGCUGUUCCUUAUUAAAUGUCUCUAUUACCAACUCAAAUCCCAAUGGUAGAUUCAGAAGAUUGUGCUAAGAAUGAAGUAUAAGAAAGACACUAAACAAGAUAUACACAAGCUAAGAAAAUACUAACUGAUAUAUUCCAAGCUCUUCCUUACUAGAUGUCAAUUAUUACCAACUCAAAUCCCAAUGGUAGAUUCAGAAGAUUGUGCUAAGAAUGAAGUAUAAGAAAGAGGCUAAACAAGAUAUACACAAGCUAAGAAAAUACUAACUGAUAUAUUCCUAGCUGUUCCUUAUUAAAUGUCACUAUUACCAACUCAAAUCCCAAUGGUAGAUUCAGAAGAUCGUGAUAAGAAUGAAGUAUAAGAAAGAGGCUAAACAAGAUAUACACAAGCUAAGAAAAUACUAACUGAUAUAUUCCAAGCUGUUCCUUACUAGAAUGUCAAUUAUUACCAACUCAAAUCCCAAUGGUAGAUUCAGAAGAUCGUGCUAAGAAUGAAGGAUAAGAAAGAGGCUAAACAAGAUAUACACAAGCUAAGAAAAUACUGACUGAUAUAUUCCAAGUUGUUCCUUAUUAAAUGUCAUUAUUACCAACUCAAAAUCCAAUGGCAGAUUCAGAACUCUACAUUAAGUCGAGGAUUGAACCGUGUCUCGCUCUCUUUAAGCAAACAUGAUUUUCUUAUUUAGUUUCUGGGUUUUUUUUCUUUCUUGCUUCGUCGGUAUUAAGAGAACCAAAUGAUCUUGUGUCUAUCUUAUUAGCCUUCGUUGAAUCACAGACACCACUUCCGACCAACUUUUCUUUGCUCAUUUGCGCCGUACUUUAACUAACAGAAAAUUACGGUAACAUGUAGAGUGUUGAAACUGAUCCAUUGAAGUGGCCCACAGAAUACUCAUAGGAACAGGAAACUAUGAAAAUAAGGGAAUAAAAACUAAGAUAUGUAGUGAAAUAUAAGAAAUUGAAGUGUGGAGGAAAAAUUCAAAAAGAUCGCAAAAUUCAGAAGUUGUGAAACGGUGAGAAAAGAGUCAAAUAAAUAUAAACCAAUUAUUACAUCAUGCCCCUCCUACAAUUUCACUAACAUCAGUCUUUCACCAACUUAAAGGAAGGAGGGCGAGAGGAAAGGAAGAGAGGGAGAGAAAAGGAAGGAGAGAGGGAAGGGAGACAAGGAGAGGGGAAAGGAUGGCAGGGAGAAGGAAGAAGACAGAGAAUGAAGGAAAGAAGAGAGGGAAGAAAGGAAAGGAAGGAAGGAAAAGAAUUAAGGACCAAGAAAAUAAAUAAAAGUAUACAAUAUUUCAACACUGCCAGGCAAUUUCCAUUAAAACUAUAUUGUUCACUGAAAAGCUUGUCACCAUUAACACAAACUCUCCUUGUAGACAAAAAAAGGGCAUGCGAAUGUUUCCACAGGAUCAAACCAACUUGCCGUGACUAGUAACAUUUUAAAACUCCCAAAAACGGAAAUUUCUCAACUCUGUUCCUGCAAAAAUUAAACAUCAGUGACUCUCCUUGACUCAUCGAACUUCAUACUCUUUAUACAUUCAACCAUUCACAUGAGCCUGUUUGAUAGAGUACACAGCUUUACAUUUUUCUGACAUAGCAAACAAUUUCACACUUUUCUGAUAUAAAACCAUAACUUCACACUCCUUCGAUAUGCCAAACAACUUUACACUUCUCUGAUAUAAACCCAUAACUUCACACACCACUGAUAACUAAAACCAACAACUUUGCACUCCUCUGAUACCCCAAACAACUUCACACUUCUUUGAUAUAACCCACAACUUCACACUCCUCUAAUAAACCAAUCCACUUCACACUCCUCUGAUACCCCAAACAGCUUCAUACUACUUCGAUAUAACCCACAACUUCACACUCUUCUGAUACACCAAACACCUUCACACUUCUUCUGCAUAACCCACAAUUUCACACUUCUUUCAGUCCAAACUCACUGAAAACCAAAGAGCUUCAAAUCAGGCAAAAAAACACCUUGAAUUACACAUGUCUAGAAUAUACUUUCCAAGCCAUACAGCCUGCUGGCACUAUAGGCUUAGAUGAAAGAACAAAAAAAGUAGUGGAAACAGCUCUAGGGCAAAAAUAAAUUAAGAUAAAUAAAUAAAAUAGAAAAAUCACAACUAGUCACUGCUCCUGUCAAAAAAAUAUGAGUAGACCGAGAGUUACAUUACAUUUGUUACUCAUGUCAUGGAAAAAAAAUGUGCCACUGUGUUUUAGUGGGUUAGGGUGACAUGCCAUGGAAGAGGAGAGCCAGGGUAAUAAAGUUUGAAUCUCAUUACCUCUACUUAAUAUCCGGAAAGCCAUUUGGUCUCAAACUCAAAGCCACAAACUUAUAAACAGCAAAGCAAGAACUAGAGAAGAAUUAACGAAGAAAAAUUACUCAACAGAUUUUCCCUCUAGAAUCACAAGGUCAUAAGCAUAAUCUCAGCCAAAAUAAAGACUUUUCCAGCGGCAUGUUCAAGUAAAUGUCCUCUUGUCUAAUGAAGGAGUGACUUAACCCAGUAGCAGCGACGGGCCAAAUUUGUGGCUUUACCGUGUACCAGCAACGGGCCAAAUUUGUGGCUUUACCAUGUACCAGCAACGGGCCAAAUUUGUGGCUUUACCGUGUACCAGCAACGGGCCAAAUUUGUGGCUUUACCGUGUACCAGCAACGGGCCAAAUUUGUGGCUUUACCGUGUACCAGCAACGGGCCAAAUUUGUGGCUUUACCGUGUACCAGCAAUGGGCCAAAUUUGUGGCUUUACCAUGUACCAGCGACGGGCCAAAUUUGUGGCUUUACCGUGUACCAGCAACGGGCCAAAUUUGUGGCUUUACCGUGUACCAGCAACGGGCCAAAUUUGCGCCACGAUAUAAACCCCAAAAAAAUAGAUGAUGCAUAAACUGAUCACAAAUUCUUUGAUAUAUAUUAUGAAAUGGUUCGUGUGAGUGAUGAUUUUUACUCAUUUUUCUCGCUUAGAGGGACCAUUAAGAAGCAUGAUCCUCGCUGCAACCGGGUUAAAGCAUUACAACCACCUAAUAUUAUCCAAAACUGCAUGAAGGCAUUAUACAUAACAAUCACUCUUAUAGCAGACAGAUUAGGUUAAGUUUGAAUAAUGUGUAGUAGUUUUCUUGCUCUUUGAAAACUGUCACUUGCAGCUUUGUCCUAUUUUUGGGUAACUCUUUUAAUAUGAGACUGAAUUGGAAUAAUGACCACAGAUUGGAGAACAUACCCCACACCACCACUGGCUGUGACCUGACUCCACACCAUAAACAGACAGACAUGGAGGAGGAGGUGAAGGAAGAGGAGGAGGAGGUGGGAGUGGAUAGGUGUGCUCAAACUCAACACACGUCAAACAGGGGUAGGUCACACAAGGCCUAUAUCACUAAGAAACAAGAAACUCAACCCUGACCUUAUGAUAUCCCAAGGUCAAAAAAGAAAUGAAUCAACAGGGAAAUUAAAGAAGGGGUGUUCAGGCUCAAUAGAUGACAGGGGUGAGUAAGCCAAUCCAUGCCCAUGCCAGCUAAGGGAUGGAGACCUCUGCACUAACACUGAGACAACAUGAGGAGGUAUAAAAAGAUGUGAAUUGACAAGACUAAACUGUAACCAUGGACAGAGGCAUAGGAGGGAGAGGAGGAGGAGGAAGAAGAAGAGGAGGAGGAGGAGGAUAGGCAGUGCUGUGUUAUGUUGAGGGCAAGGUUGAGGGUGAUAAACUCUACCCAUGAACAGAGGCAUAGAAGAGAGGAGGAGGAAGAGGAAGGGAGGUGAAGGUGGUGGAGGUUGUGACAAGCUGAAACACUAUAAAUAGACAUAUAAGCAAGACAAGGAGGAAGGAGUUAGGGAGAAGCAGUGUUAUGUGUUGUAUUGAAGUGUUGCAUUGUGUUGUAGUGGAAGUGGUAGUAGUAGCAGUAGUAGUGGUAGUUAAGAGAAGAAUGUGAGGUGUAGUGUUAAGUCUGGUAGUGAUACUGGUAGUGGUUGUAGUAGUAGUAGUAGUAGUAGAAGAGAAGUUGAGUUAGUGUAUGUGGUUUUGGUAGUAAUAGUAGUGGUGGUAGUAGUGGUAGUAGUAGUGGUGAUAAGUAUCUUGACUGGCGCUACAGUGAGAUGCUAAUAUCCGUCACGGGUAUCUGAUAAACGUAAACUCAUACAUUGAAGGCACGAUUAUAAUUAUGCUAAACAGUCCUUGGUGCCUCACUCUGACCCCCCCACACACACACACACACACACACUAGCCAUGCAUUCCUGUAGAUCAUUCAUUAAACUGUCAAUCAAUGAACAAGUUGUGGAGUGAGUGAAGCAAAUUAAGUCAAAUCCUGCAGGUCCAUCACACUGUACUCAUGCACACAAAAUUAUGGAACAGAUCUCUCCUUAACGAGGGCUAAUAUGACCCUGCGGAGCACAUCAUUCAAAAGCUAACUAGAGGCCUCGUGAAAAAUAGCGCCGAAGUACAUAACAACAGUUGUAGAAAAGCAAUAACAAUCCAAAAAUGGUGCACUCAUCCGUAAAAGCCGGGAAAGAAACGGUUAAACUCUGUCCAGUGAGAAGGUUCUAUUGACAUUCACAAUGCUCGUCAUACUACUGGAAUUUUUAUACCGACAGAUUGGUAAGCUGUGUUGCAAUGUUGAUACUGUGUGUUGUUGCCAGCAUGAUAGAACACUCGCAAUACAGCUUAAGUGACACUCAAAUUCAUCGCCAGUAUUGACCUUCACAUCUCAACCCAAUGCAAGCUCUGCCUCUCCGUCACUAAGACCUAGAACUGCACUGAACUUGGUGGGAUUGAUGCUCUGUUAUCUGCCUCCGAAACCUUGACAGUGGCACUAAAGAGAGGACAGGAAUGAGGAACAGUCAGAGCUGGAGGGAACAAGGCAGAAGGGGACGGUACAUAAUAGGAUGGCAAAUAAUAGAGAUGUAUAAGGGAGAACCAUACAAAAUAGGCUACAGGUUUCAUAUUUCCAGCUUUUUUACCCUCUUGUCAGUAAGGAGAAUAUGAAGAAUAAAAAAAACUCACUUGGCAAUUCUAGGGACUCUGGGGGCCGUAGGAAAACUAAGACAAAAAAAAAAAAAAAAAAAGCAAUGGGGCCUUCAAAACAUUUCUCCCAAAAGUUGAAAUUAACCUGUUUAGUUGCCCGCCUUGCCUAAUCUCUCGUUACACCUUAGACAGAACUCUCACAAGGCACAACAAAACACAAACUGGCAUGUACGUAAUGGGAAAGAUACUCAAUAUACUCAACAUGUUUCAAUUUCAACUCUACAGGACAUUACGAAAGAACAUACAGCAACAGGUUACCUUACUGUCCUGAAUGGCUAUAGGUCAGGGGAGAGAUGGCUGAGUCCCCUCUUAGUGCUAUGGGAUGCUAAACUCUCCUACUGUGCCUUAACCUCCUGCCCUGCGGAAACGUGUGAAUGGACGUGUCAAAAAGAAACUUAAAAAAGGGAAAUCCAUUGAUGUUAUGUGGAUUUCCCCUUGAUGCCCCUUCAUGGAUCGCAAUAAUAACAAUGAUAAUAAUAAUAAUAAUAAUAAUAAUAAUAAUAAUGACAAUAAAAUAGUUAAAAAUAAGACCGAAAAAACAUGCAAAAAAGGAAAGAAAGGAUGGAAAAGUAAUUAAGUUCAGGAUCUUUUUAAUAGUAAUGAUGAUAAGAAGCAAUGUUCAAAGAGUGUAAAAACAGAAUGGAUAUAUAAACGUGUGCUAUUUGAAUGUCUGGUAGUUGAUAUUUGUAAAUUAUGGAAGGCGCUUUACAAGUCUCACUCAUCUCACUCAGUUUCUCGUCAAGUUUCACUCACUUCGGCGUGCAUCGAAUGCUAUCUCAGACUUGCGUGUCCUUCUAGUAUUUCAUUUUUAGUUGAAUAUUUUGUAGCUUGCAAUAUUCAGAACUCUACUGUGAAUUGGUUGAUUGUUUACUAUGUUGCAUUUUUUGCCCUAAUAUUUAGCCUAAAGUGGGAAAAAAAAAAGAGAUGAUAUGAUAUGUGCGUGUGAGAGGUGCAUGUGGGUGUGUUCACUAUAAUACAAUAUCAUACAUAGGCAUAUACAUUUUUGGAAACAUAUAUAGAAAACCAAACUUUAGAAGCAGGCAAUCAUCUGUACAUAUUACACAAGAAUUACUAAAACCAGGCAUUAGUAUCACAGCAAAAUAUUGAUAUGCUGAUGGGCAACUAUAAUACAGUAUUCACACUAACUUGGCAAAUAGGCCCCUCCCCCUUAUCCUUAAAGUGAACAUCAUUGGCUAGUUUAUAAGCAGGCCACGCCCCCUCCUCCAAAUCAGCAAAUAGGCCCCUCCUCCUCCUCCUCCCUAAAGUGAACCUCAUUGGCCAGUUCAUAAGCAAGCCACGCCCCCUCCUCCAAAUCAGCAAAUAGGACCUUCCCCCUAAAGUGAACAUCAUUGGCCAGUUCAAAAGCAAGCCACACCCCCUCCUCCAAAUUGCAAAGAAGCCCCUCCCCCUUCUCCCUAAAGUGAAGCUCAUUGGCCAGUUCAUAAGCAAGCCACGCCCCCUCAUCCAACUCAGCAAAUAGGCCCCUCCCCUUUCUCCUUUACGUGAACCUCAUUGGCCAGUUCAUAAACAAGCCACGCCCCUUCCUCCAUAUUAGGCUGCAUGUGAUUGGUGGAUGCUGGGAAUGGUUAAAUCUCAUUGGUGGUCACUGGACUGGCAUAGGAAGAGCUUAUUUGCCAGGUUAGUUUGAACAGAGCAUGGUAUGUGUGUGUGUGUGUGUGUGAAAACUACUGGCCACCCAUUUUAAUCUGUAACUAGCAAUUCAAAACAUUUAUCUUUAUAGUUAUACGAGAAGUGAAAGACGGAAAAGGGAUGGAAAUGGCACCUCUAUCAGCAAUGCCUCAACAGAUUACAACUUGAGAUUUAGUAAAGGAAGGACAGCAAACUCACUUCCAAACCAUCAAACCAAACCAACUUAAACAAUAUCCAUUUCUUCAUCCUUAACAAUACGACGAAAUCCACCUCAGUACAUAACUAACUAAAGAUUCAAAGUGGGGAGACUUACUCAUUUUCUAUUCAGACCAUCAUUCCCUCAUUCAUCCACCACACACGACAAAAUCAACCUCAAUACAUAGCUAACUAAAGAUUCAAUGAUGGAUGGCUUAUUCAUUUCA